CCUACGGGAGGCUGCAGUGGGGAAUAUUGCACAAUGGGCGCAAGCCUGAUGCAGCCAUGCCGCGUGUGUGAAGAAGGCCUUCGGGUUGUAAAGCACUUUCAGCGGGGAGGAAGGCGUUAAGGUUAAUAACCUUGUCGAUUGACGUUACCCGCAGAAGAAGCACCGGCUAACUCCGUGCCAGCAGCUGCGGUAAUACGGAGGGUGCAAGCGUUAAUCGGAAUUACUGGGCGUAAAGCGCACGCAGGCGGUCUGUCAAGUCGGAUGUGAAAUCCCCGGGCUCAACCUGGGAACUGCAUUCGAAACUGGCAGGCUAGAGUCUUGUAGAGGGGGGUAGAAUUCCAGGUGUAGCGGUGAAAUGCGUAGAGAUCUGGAGGAAUACCGGCGGCGAAGGCGGCCCCCUGGACAAAGACUGACGCUCAGGUGCGAAAGCGUGGGGAGCAAACAGGAUUAGAUACCCCUGUAGUC
rnacentral:rRNA from 1 species